GAUUCAGAGUUGCCUCCCCUCCUAAAGCAAAAUGGCUACCAUUCACAGCACAAGUAAAUUGUGAUCAUUCGGAAGAUGAGCAAACCCAGGAGGAGGGUGACAGUUGAUACCGGGAAGCCUGUCUCAGAGGAAUCAGAAAAGAGGAAGCCCAGCGUCUUUGAAAGACUGGGACCAGGUGGUGGACAGAGAAAAUAUGAGGAGAGAGGUGAAAAGUCUAAGAGCCAGAGUCAAAGUUUAUACCUUGAUAAGUGUCGACACUGGCUACUCACAGGAAAUUGUCCAUUUGGUGCCAAGUGCAAGUUUCAGCAUGGUCCCUUUAUAGCCAAGAGACCAACAAAGAAUCGUAGCGACGACGACGGAGCAGAAGAUUUGCGACUAAAAGUUAAAGGCAGCACAGAAAGACAUCACCCAGAGGGUUCCGUGUCACCUGAAUCCAGGUCAGGGUCAAGGUCACGGCACGAUAAAGAAACCAAAAUCAAAUCUACGGUUGUUGUUAAAAAUACAACUGGUGGAGAUAGCGGAGACGAGGAUUCUGAAAACUCCGACAACUGGGACGCUGAAGUAUUAGAUUACAAGAAAGAACUGGAACUUGAAAAGAAACGUCAAGAGAUUCAGCGAGCACUGAGCCAGUUAGCAGCAUCCGAGGGAGAAGAGAGGGAAAAUAUCACCAUCGAAAAGAAGGUGCCCUCCAAAGAGAAAAUAGCCAGGGAAUCUGUGAGUUUUACCCUUAAGAAGAACAGACCGCAACCUACAAAACCAUUUUCCAGUGACUACUCAGAUUCAGACAGCAGUCCAGAGAGAACCAAAGCUUUUCCCGAGAAGUCCCCAAAGAAGACAUCCCCUCCAAGUAAGAAGAAAGGUGACAAGAAGAAGCACAAGCAGAAGUCUCCCUUUGGUAAAGCUAAAGGUCCGCUGCGGACACCCAGCCCCUCUGAGAUGGGCAAACACAAGGAACAUAAGAAGAAGUAUGAUACAGAGGAUGAUUCACCUCACAAGACCAAGCACAAGAAGAUGAAGAAGAUGGAUAAAAAACUGGACAGAUCCCCGGAACCAGAUCUGCCAAAGUCCAAGAAAAAACACUCACCUCGGAUUGACAAAUUUCAUACUGAGAAGCCAUCAAAGGCUGAUAAAAGACUGUUGAGCCCAGAUUUAGGGUCACCAACUGGCAAACGGUCACAUAGGUCAUGGUCACCAACAUCAAGGUCAAGGUCUAGAUCCAUCACCCCCAUUCCACCAAAGAAGCAGAAGAACAUUUCUCCGGGACUGGUAAAAGAGAAGGUCAAAGGUGAAAAGGUCAAACAGAAGAAGAAGAAAGGCAAGGGUAAACUUGGCGGUGAUGGGUCUGCAGCCAGGGAAAGGCACAUUUCGCCAGUGAGAAUAAAGAAAAAGAAGAUAAAGGCGGAAUUACCUUUUCCGAUAAAGAGGGACAUUGAGGAGGAUCUGCCAGCACGCCACUCCGACUCUCCGGGGUCAGAGAACAUGCCCCCGAGGUCUGUGUCCCCGGGAUCCCCCCGCCGGAAGGAGCCCCUGGAGAGGGAGUUCUUCAAGGGGAUGCUGCAUGACAGGGAGGAGGAGAAGAGGGAGACGGGGAGCAGGAAGAACAAGAGAAAGAGGUCCGAGACUCCACCACAGCGUGAACGUAUUCCUCCAAGUAGGAGUGACCUUGGGGACAAAAGGAAAGGAGGUCAAAGUCAGGAGAGAAAGUUUUCUCGCAAGGAGCAAUAUAAUGCCGAUAUCGACCGACCAAAGCAUAGUGAUGAGCGUGGGAGACGAGCAUCACCAGAUUCAUUCCGAUCUGAAGACAGAUCACCCACACCAACACCUCCCAGUCGAAGAAACCACUCUCCCGAUGGAUCUCAAAGAUCAAGAUCAAGGAGAGGUCGUGAUGAGGACAUUGACGUGAAUCGAUCCAGGGACAGGCGGUCACCCGAUGAGCGAAGAAUGGGUAAAGAAUCACGUGACAGGCGAGAGGACCUUGACCCUAGAGGUCAAUCCAGAGAAAAUUAUCGGGAAAGAUACGAACAUGGGGAGGAACAUCGCCGAGAUCCAAGGGAGAGGUUUGAUGAAGGCUUUCCGGAGUUCUCUGAUCGGUACCAGGAUCGGUCCAGAUUCCAGGAGGACAGAGAACAGUUUGAUCCAAGAGAACGACACAGACAUGAACAAAGUUUUGAGCGAGGGAGAGAAAACAGGCGGGAGAGGUAUGAAGGAAGGGACAGAUUGGUGGCAGAUCAAGGCAGAAUGCAUCCAGGUCAAGGAAGGGACUAUUUUGGUGAUCGCCAUCAGCAGGGUAUGCAUGGUAUGGGCCGCGGUGCAGGCAGAGGGCGUGGCGCAUAUGAAGGAGGCAUGCGAGAGAGAAGCUAUGCACCAGACAGACAGGAGCAGAUGCGAGGGUACACUGCUGAGUUUGCUGAUCGACAGAGUCGUCGGUCUGAGUGGGAGGAUCGUCGCCGUGGGGAGGUGUUUGGGCAGGGUCGUGAAUGGGGGGAAAGACAUGACAUGUCGCAUGAGGAGAGGUUCGACAUGAGGAGAGAUGACCACAGAUUUGAUGAGAGAUAUUUCCGAAGAGAUGAUGAGCGUCAGAUUGGUCGAGAUGGAAGACCAUUGAGCCGAUCAAUAGACCGAAACAUGCGGGAUGGCUGGAGAGACAGACCUGAUAUGAGGGAAGACAGGGUUGGAUUGAGAGAUGAACGAAUGAGAGAGAACAGAAUGGAUGAUAGACGUCGCGAGAGACAUAGUCCAUCACCCUUUGAUAAACGUGGUUACCGGGACGAUAGGUUCCCCCAUGAUGAGAGGCUGUUUGGCCGUGAGGAUGACGACAGAAUGAGAGAAGAGAGAAUCCCAAUGGAGAGAGGACGAGAUGACAGGAUCCGAGAAGACAGAGGACCUGGUGAGAGGGACAGAGAUGUGCGUGGUGGGAUGGACAGAGGACGAGAUGACAGGGGAAUGAUGGAGAGAGACAGAGGCCCAAUGGACAGAGGGAGAGAUGGUUCUGUGGACGAGAGAGGCAGGGGGAACCGCGGGCGGGAUGACAGGGGACGCGAGGAUAGGAUGGGGAUGGACAGAGGGAGGGAGGAGAGAGGUCCUCUGGACAGGAUGAAAGAGGACCGUGGCUCUUUAGACAGAGGGGAGGACCGGGGAUUCAUGGAUGAACGGAGACGUGAAAGAGGAUUCAGGGAGGACCGGAAGGGUGAGAGAGGACCUAGAGAUGAGAGAGGGUUUAGGGAGGAGGAGGACAGAUUCAGAGAUGAUAGAGGAUUCAGAGAGGACAACAGAGGAGGUAAAUUUGAGAGAGACUUCAGGGAGGAGAGAGUAGGGAGAGAUGAGAGACACAGAGAUGAGAGAGAGUUCCGUGGAUCUCGUGGAGACCCGAGCCCUGAGGAUGAUAGAACGCCAGAUCAAAGGACCAGAGAGGAGAAGGAAGAUCAGGAGAAGGCAUCACGAGAUGGAAGUCAUGAGAGGCCGAGGAGCUCAAGCUCCAAAUCAGAACGGACUAAGGAUAAAAUCUCCAAAGAUGAUAGAAAUAGUGAUAAAAGUUCAAAAGACUCUAGAAUGUCUAAAGAUGAAAAGAGCUCCAAAGAUGAUCGCUCUAAGGAGAGGGGAGAACGGAGGAAGAGGGAAGAUCGGUCCCCCAGAAGGGAUGGGAAGAAGGAGGAGAAGGGGAAGUGGCCGCCGCCAGAGGGGGAAGAACAGGACAGUGAGGCGGAGAGCGGGGAAGACUUGAAGCAGGAGGAAACUCGAAGUAGAGACUCCAGGAAACGAGGCCCUGACAAGGAGGAACUGCCACUAUCUCCUAUCCCCAAGCGUCUGCGUGAGGUCUCUCCAGCUAGUUCAUCUCGCAGCCGAGGCAGUCACAACAGCAGGCGUCUUCCGGACCGAGAUCAACAGCGUUCCCGUCGCCGUGGUGACAGUGGAUCUGACAGGGAGGACAAGUCUGGCAGGAAGGGAAGUGUUGACCGGGACAAAAAGUCACGGAAAAAGGACACUACAUCUAUUGAUGCUCCAAGCAAGUCCGAAAAAAGUCGUAGCAUUAGUCCCAAACCUAGCAAGGAGAAGAAUGAAGACAAAGCAGACAAGGGGAAGGCCAGAAGGAGGUCGUUGUCGGGGUCGAGUUCCAAAUCUAAAGAAGGAGUAGCGCCUCCCGAGGCUGAGGAGAAGAAGCCACAGCCACCUCCUGCUGCUCCUCGGAAAGCUGAUGACAACUUGUAUGAUGAAGACAACAUUUCUGCAAUUGUCUCCCUUGGAGGGAAGUCUUCCCUUGCAGAUGAUGACAGAGCGUCGGACCAUGCGAGUAUCCGGUCGGUGCAGUUCAGCGACUGGUCGGAGGACGACAUGGCGGACAACAUCCUGAACCAGGCUGAGGUAGAGAUCGAGAGGGAGGAGCGCCGCCAGAGAAGUCCCAGUCGAAGCAGUCUUGGCAGUCGGGGAAGUGCCCUUGACAGGAAGAUACAUGUCAGCCAGGAUCACAUGUUGGAAGUCAUCAAAGAAAGAGUGCAUGGGGAGUCCGGCAGCAUGGUGUCCUGCGAGGGAGAGGAGGGUGGACCGGGCGUCGGGCAGGACAAGGACAGGCAGUUUGAGGAUGAGAUGGAUGCCCUGCCCGAGUAUGAGCAGAUCUCUUCAGAUGAAGAUGGCUUCAUGGAAGAUGACGGUGAAGUACAAUCAAGUAUUGUAAACAUCCUGGACAUCGACUGGUCCAGCCUCAAGGAUGCAGCCAAGCCCAAACCCAAGGGUUCUGCUCUCCAGCGGUUCAGCCCUGCCAGUAUAUUCAGCCAGAUUGGGGUCUCACGGGCCUAUGCUGGGGAUGAACUGUUUGAGAAGAUCAAGACUGUGUGUCAGAAACAGCUGGACGAGUCAGAGAAGACAGAAAAUGAUGGAGCCGAUGGUAACAAGGAGAAAACAUCCCAGAAGUUUGUUCUACAUGACUCAGUAGCAGCCUUCCAUUGUGCGGCUCUGCGUAAACUCCGGGAGCGAGCCAGUCUCCUGAAGAACAUUGGCUCCCAUCGCAGAGCACUAUGUGCACGCAAAGACCUGGAGAUCCGGAGGAGACUUUGUAAAGUUGAUAAGGUGUUUGACCAGAGUCCAGUGUACCCCAGCCAUGUGAUGGACACCGAUCUAUCCAAGCUGAGUGUCCAGCUGUUCCGCCAGGGCCGAGACAUCACGCCGGACAAGAAGGGGCCUGAAGCAGAGACACAAGCAGAGGUGUCAUGUCCAACAUAGAUGAGGCAGAGGCACAAACAGAGGUGUCAUGUCCAACAUAGCUGAGACAGAGACACAAACAGAGGUGUCAUGUCCAACAUAGAUGAGGCAGAGACACAAACAGAGGUGUCAUGUCCAACAUGUUAUCAGGUGUUAUGAGGUGUUAUCAGGGUCAGAUAUUCAGUUGCUGGACCACGGAGGUCAGAUAUUUCAGUUGCUGGACCACAGUGGUCAGAUAUUUCAGUUGCUGGUCCACUGAGGUGAGAUUUAUCAGUUGCUGGUCCACAGAGGUCCUGUAUUUCUGUUGCUGGUUCACGGAGGUCAGAUAUUUCAGUUGCUUGCCAAUUGUGGUUUCCGAUACUUUAGUUGGUGAUUCAUGUGUUUUUUCGUUUUAUUUGCUGAUCCAUUGUGGGAUUAUAUAUUGAGUGGCUGAUCCUUUGGGGGCUAACUUGUGACUGGUUUUUUUUGUUCCACAAGAGUCAGAUUUUACAGUUGCUUAACCAUUUGGUCAGCUAUAUUUCAGUUAUGAAUCCAUCCUGGUCUCAGUUUUAUUUCAGUUGCUUAACCAUCUGGUAAGCUAUAUUUCAAUAACCAAUCCAUCGUUGUGUCAGCUAUAUUUCAGUUACUGAUUUAUCGUUGUCUCAGCUGUGUUUCAUUUGCUGAUCCUUGCGAUGUGUCAGCUAUAUUUCAGUUACUGAUUUAUCGUUGUCUCAGCUGUAUUUCAUUUGCUGAUCCUUUGUUGUGUUAUAUUUCAGUAACUUAUUCAUCGUUGUGUCAGCUGUAUUUCAUUUGCUGAUCCUUUGUUGUGUUAUAUUUCAGUAACUAAUUCAUCGUUGUGUCAGCUAUAUUUCAUUUGCUGAUCCUUUGGGGGGUCAGAUAUUUCAGUGUCUGAUCCAUUGUUGUGUCAGCUAUAUUUCAGUUGCUGAUGCAUUGGGGGUCAGAUAUUUCAGUGUCUGAUCCAUUGUGGGGUCAGAUAUUUCAGUGUCUGAUCCUUCGUUGUGUCAGCUAUAUUUCAUUUGCUGAUCCUUUGGGGGGUCAGAUAUUUCAGUGUCUGAUCCAUUGUGGGGUCAGAUAUUUCAGUUGCUGAUGCAUUGGGGGUCAGAUAUUUCAGUGUCUGAUCCAUUGUGGGGUCAGAUAUUUCAGUGUCUGAUCCUUCGUUGUGUCAGCUAUAUUUCAGUUACUGAUUCAUCAUUGUCUGAGCUAUAUUUCAUUUGCUGAUCCAUCGUUGUGUCAGCUAUAUUUCAGUGUCUGAUCCUUCGUUGUGUCAGCUGUAUUUCAGUUACUGAUUCAUCAUUGUGUCAGCUAUAUUUCAUUUGCUGAUCCUUAGUGGGGUCAGAUAUUUCAGUGUCUGAUCCAUUGUGGGGUCAGAUAUUUCAGUGUCUGAUCCAUUGUGGGGUCAGCUAUAUUUCAUUUGCUGAUUUCGUUGUGUCAGCUAUAUUUCAUUUGCUGAUUUCGUUGUGUCAGCUAUAUUUCAUUUGCUGAUUUCGUUGUGUCAGCUAUAUUUCGGUUGCUGAUCCAUUGUGGGGUCAGCAAUAUUUCAUUUGCUGAUUUCGUUGUGUCAGCUAUAUUUCAGUUGCUGAUCCAUUGUGGGAUCAGAUAUUUCAGUUGAUUUUCAUUUGUGGUGUAAUUUUCUCUGUGUGUUGCUGAUCUGGUGGAAGUAAAAUAUUUCUGUUAAUGGUCUAUUGUGUCAGAUGUUUUACCUUCUGUGGGAUCAGAGGUUAUUUCUAUUUCCGAUCCAGCAAGGCGUCCAUUACAAGAUGGAGAUUGCUCCUGUCUCCUAGGGCUCAGUCUGGUACAGGUUUACUGACAGUCUUAGCGUCUCCAGCUUGUGUGGUGGUCAUGUUAUCAGUCUAGGUCAUCUAACAGAUCAAUGUCAAUGUCAGCAUCGCUUGAAUGUGUUUAAUAAAAUAGUUUUGUAUUAUUCAAUUCUAAGCUAGAGCAUUAAACAGCCAUUGCGUGAGAUGAAAGCUUCAUCUUAAAUGUGUGUUUUGUAUUCUGAUCUUAUUGUGAUGGCUGGCUUUCAUGGAUGAAAUUAUCCUAGAUGUCAUGUUUGUAAGUAAAUACCAGAAAUACUCCUUGAGGGUUGUACAUAGUCAUUGUGAGAUCUCAGUUCCCGUAUCAUUGUAACAUAUCAUCAGUGUGAACGAGAACAUUCAUGGUUUAAACACCCAUUUAUUAUUCAUGCCAUGUAAAUUGCUUCUUUUCUCAAACCAUGAAAUGUACCAAUUGUUUGAUAUAGGCUGACUUCAUUUCUUAGUGCUCGAUAGUAUUUUUGCAGUAUUUGUGAGUGUCAUGCCUCAGAGUGUGUGGCAGGUGAUUGUGUAUAUCAGCCAGUAGCGGUGAACGUCUGAUUGGAAAUAUGUUCAUGGUAUCAUUUUAAUAAAAUGUAAAACUUUUA
rnacentral:misc_RNA from 1 species